UAACCGCUGAAAGCAUCUAAGCGGGAAGCGAGCCCUGAGAUGAGUCAUCCCUGACCCCUUGAGGGUCCUAAAGGGCCGUUGGAGACCACAACGUUGAUAGGUGGGGUGUGUAAGCGCGGCGACGUGUUGAGCUAACCCAUACUAAUUACCCGUGAGGCUUAACCAU
rnacentral:rRNA from 1 species